rnacentral:tRNA from 1 species
GGAGAGAUGGCCGAGUGGUUGAAGGCAACAGUCUUGAAAACUGUCGUGUCCGAAAGGGCAUCGGGGGUUCGAAUCCCUCUCUCUCCG